rnacentral:misc_RNA from 1 species
AAGUCGUAACAAGGUUUCCGUAGGUGAACCUGCGGAAGGAUCAUUACCUAGAGUUGUAGGCUUUGCCUGCUAUCUCUUACCCAUGUCUUUUGAGUACCUUACGUUUCCUCGGUGGGUUCGCCCACCGAUUGGACAAAUUUAAACCCUUUGCAGUUGAAAUCAGCGUCUGAAAAACUUUAAUAGUUACAACUUUCAACAACGGAUCUCUUGGUUCUG